rnacentral:rRNA from 1 species
GAUGAACGCUGGCGGCGUGCCUAAUACAUGCAAGUCGAGCGAACAGAUGAGGAGCUUGCUCCUCUGACGUUAGCGGCGGACGGGUGAGUAACACGUGGAUAACCUACCUAUAAGACUGGGAUAACUGCGGGAAACCGGAGCUAAUACCGGAUAAUAUAUUGAACCGCAUGGUUCAAUAGUGAAAGACGGUUUUGCUGUCACUUAUAGAUGGAUCCGCGCCGCAUUAGCUAGUUGGUAAGGUAACGGCUUACCAAGGCGACGAUGCGUAGCCGACCUGAGAGGGUGAUCGGCCACACUGGAACUGAGACACGGUCCAGACUCCUACGGGAGGCAGCAGUAGGGAAUCUUCCGCAAUGGGCGAAAGCCUGACGGAGCAACGCCGCGUGAGUGAUGAAGGUCUUCGGAUCGUAAAACUCUGUUAUUAGGGAAGAACAAAUGUGUAAGUAACUAUGCACGUCUUGACGGUACCUAAUCAGAAAGCCACGGCUAACUACGUG